rnacentral:rRNA from 1 species
GGCGAACGGGUGAGUAACACGUGGGUAAUCUGCCCUGCACUCUGGGAUAAGCCUGGGAAACUGGGUCUAAUACUGGAUAUGACCUUUCUCCUUAUGGGGUUUGGUGGAAAGUUUUUCGGUGUAGGAUGAGCCCGCGGCCUAUCAGCUUGUUGGUGGGGUGAUGGCCUACCAAGGCGACGACGGGUGGCCGGCCUGAGAGGGUGAUCGGCCACAUUGGGACUGAGAUACGGCCCAG